CACGUAGGGGGCAAGCGUUGUCCGGAUUUAUUGGGCGUAAAGAGCUCGUAGGCGGCUCAGUAAGUCGGGUGUGAAACCUCCAGGCUCAACCUGGAGACGCCACCUGAUACUGCUGUGGCUAGAGUCCGGUAGGGGAGCGUGGAAUUCCUGGUGUAGCGGUGAAAUGCGCAGAUAUCAGGAGGAACACCGAUGGCGAAGGCAGCUCUCUGGGCCUGUUCUGACGCUGAGGGAGCGAAAGCGUGGGGAGCGAACAGG
rnacentral:rRNA from 1 species